rnacentral:rRNA from 1 species
GUAGGUGGCAAGCGUUGUCCGGAAUUAUUGGGCGUAAAGCGCGCGCAGGCGGUCCUUUAAGUCUGAUGUGAAAGCCCACGGCUCAACCGUGGAGGGUCAUUGGAAACUGGGGGACUUGAGUACAGAAGAGGAAAGCGGAAUUCCAAGUGUAGCGGUGAAAUGCGUAGAGAUUUGGAGGAACACCAGUGGCGAAGGCGGCUUUCUGGUCUGUAACUGACGCUGAGGCGCGAAAGCGUGGGGAGCAAACAGGGAUUAGAUACCCUGGUAGUCCACGCCGUAAACGAUGAGUGCUAAGUGUUAGGGGGUUUCCCGCCCCUUAGUGCUGCAGCUACGCAUUAAGCACUCCGCCUGGGGAGUACGGCCGCAAGGCUG